CCCUCUCCAAGAGUGAGUUGCAGUAAUUGGCUUGGCCUUGUCUGCUUCCCUCACUAGACUGUGAGCUCCUUGAGGGUGGCCCU
rnacentral:miRNA from 1 species